rnacentral:SRP_RNA from 1 species
AUCUGGCUAUUUUUGAAUUUCGGCCUGCCCUAUCCAAACUCAGAGCUGGGUCAUGUGGCUUAAGCGAAGGCAUGUGCUGCUUGAUCCCUAACGUGGGGUGGACUGUGUGAGGCUAGUUUUACAGAGCAACGAACAACUCCCCCUCUAUGCAGUGGAAGGAUAACGGGUCAGUGCUUUCUAGGU